rnacentral:sRNA from 1 species
UAAGGUUCGAUUCGAGCGAAAGCGAGAAAGCGUUGCCGCAGGCAACGACCCGAAGGGCGAAGCGCGCAGCGCUGAGUAAUCCUUCCCCCGUCAUCC